GCCCGGUUAGCUCAGUUGGUAGAGCAUCAGACUUUUAUUCUGAGUGCCAUGGGUUCGAGUCCCAUAUCGCGCU
rnacentral:tRNA from 1 species